CACAGUAAUAAAAUCGCAGGCGAAGCGUCACAGUCACAGAAAAAAAGUGUCACCCUUCACCCAAACCCACACCUUAGGGUUCCUCAGUUCCUCUUCUUCUCCUUUUAACCCAACAACAAGCUCUCAGAAAAAAAAAAAAAUCCUCAUUCCCCAAAACACCCUUCGCGCAAACGCAUGGCGAAAACGAGGCCAGGCAGAAAGGACUUGGACUCGUACACCAUAAGAGGAACCAACAAGGUCGUCCGAGCCGGUGAUUGCGUUCUGAUGCGGCCAUCGGACACGUCGAAGCCCCCUUACGUGGCGCGCGUGGAGAAGAUCGAGCAGGACAAUAGGAACAACGUGAAGGUGCGUGUGAGGUGGUACUACAGACCCGAAGAGUCCAUUGGGGGUCGCAGACAGUUCCAUGGUGCCAAAGAGCUUUUUCUCUCCGACCACUAUGAUGUGCAGAGUGCUCACACCAUUGAAGGAAAAUGCGUAGUACACUCUUUCAAGAACUACACCAAGCUGGAGAAUGUGGGUGCUGAGGAUUACUAUUGUAGAUUUGAGUACAAGGCUGCCACUGGGGCUUUCACUCCUGACCGUGUUGCUGUGUAUUGCAAGUGUGAGAUGCCAUAUAACCCGGAUGACCUCAUGGUACAAUGUGAAGGGUGCAAGGAUUGGAAUUAUCAGUUAUGUGAUCUCACCACCUGCAGAAUGAGUGGCCUAAAGGGUGUUAGAAAGUUGUUUUUUGUAGGUAUCAUCCUGCUUGUGUGGGCAUGACCAUCGAAGAAGCAAAGAAAUUAGAUCAUUUUGUGUGUUCAGAAUGUUCAUCUGAUGAUGAUAUGAAGAAACCGCAAGCUACAUUUUCUGCAUCCCCAGGAGCCGAUGGCAAGGUGGAGCCCAAGCGGCGAAAGAGAUGACCAUAAUGCAGUAGUAACCUUGUUUGGAGGCGUGAGUGACUCUUGCUGAAUUUGGGUGGCACUCUAUGGUAGCUUUUGUGUGUUGUACAGCUUCAUCUAGAGGCUAUGAACAUUUCAUUAUGUAUCUGACUUAGCUUAUAUUAUGUAUCUAUUCGUCUUAGAUUUUAUAACUCUGACAUUCCCUCAAGUUAAUUCCGAUCCAAGUGUUUAUUAUUCUUCAGAUGAUGACAUCAAAACCUAAAAUACUAAGCACAGAGAAGCAGUUAGUUUUAAA